AGAAUCAACGCUGGCGGCGUGCCUAACACAUGCAAGUCGAACGAGAAAGGGUAGCAAUACCUGAGUACAGUGGCGCACGGGUGAGUAACACGUGACUAACCUACCCUGGAGUGGGGAAUAACUGAGGGAAGCCUUAGCUAAUACCGCAUAAUACCUACGGGUCAAAGGAGCAAUUCGCUUCAGGAGGGGGUCGCGGCCGAUUAGUUAGUUGGCGGGGUAAUGGCCCACCAAGACAGUGAUCGGUA
rnacentral:rRNA from 1 species